ACUCCUGCGGGAGGCAGCAGUGGGGAAUAUUGGACAAUGGGCGCAAGCCUGAUCCAGCAAUGCCGCGUGAGUGAUGAAGGCCCUAGGGUUGUAAAGCUCUUUCUCCGGUGAAGAUAAUGACGGUAACCGGAGAAGAAGCCCCGGCUAACUUCGUGCCAGCAGCCGCGGUAAUACGAAGGGGGCUAGCGUUGUUCGGAUUUACUGGGCGUAAAGCGCACGUAGGCGGACUAUUAAGUCAGGGGUGAAAUCCCGGGGCUCAACCCCGGAACUGCCUUUGAUACUGGUAGUCUUGAGUUCGAGAGAGGUGAGUGGAAUUCCGAGUGUAGAGGUGAAAUUCGUAGAUAUUCGGAGGAACACCAGUGGCGAAGGCGGCUCACUGGCUCGAUACUGACGCUGAGGUGCGAAAGCGUGGGGAGCAAACAGGAUUAGAUACCCCUGUAGUCCCAUG
rnacentral:rRNA from 1 species